rnacentral:rRNA from 1 species
UACAGAGGUCUCAAGCGUUGUUCGGAAUCAUUGGGCGUAAAGGGCGCGUAGGUGGCGGGACAAGCGUGCGGUGAAAGCCUGGGGCUCAACCCCGGGUCGGCCGUGCGAACUGUUUUGCUUGAGCACUGUAGAGGCAGGCGGAAUUCCGGGUGUAGCGGUGGAAUGCGUAGAGAUCCGGAAGAACACCGGUGGCGAAGGCGGCCUGCUGGGCAGUAGCUGACACUGAGGCGCGACAGCGUGGGGAGCAAACAGG